rnacentral:rRNA from 1 species
CGGGCGAGGUUGCUUCGGUAACUGAGCUAGCGGCGGACGGGUGAGUAAUGCUUAGGAAUUUGCCUAUUAGUGGGGGACAACAUUCCGAAAGGAAUGCUAAUACCGCAUACGCCCUACGGGGGAAAGCAGGGGAUCUUCGGACCUUGCGCUAAUAGAUGAGCCUAAGUCAGAUUAGCUAGUUGGUGGGGUAAAGGCCUACCAAGGCGACGAUCUGUAGCGGGUCUGAGAGGAUGAUCCGCCACACUGGGACUGAGACACGGCCCAGACUCCUACGGGAGGCAGCAGUGGGGAAUAUUGGACAAUGGGCGCAAGCCUGAUCCAGCCAUGCCGCGUGUGUGAAGAAGGCCUUUUGGUUGUAAAGCACUUUAAGCGAGGAGGAGGCUACUUGGAUUAAUACUCUAGGAUAGUGGACGUUACUCGCAGAAUAAGCACCGGCUAACUCUGUGCCAGCAGCCGCGGUAAUACAGAGGGUGCGAGCGUUAAUCGGAUUUACUGGGCGUAAAGCGUGCGUAGGCGGCUUCUUAAGUCGGAUGUGAAAUCCCUGAGCUUAACUUAGGAAUUGCAUUCGAUACUGGGAAGCUAGAGUAUGGGAGAGGAUGGUAGAAUUCCAGGUGUAGCGGUGAAAUGCGUAGAGAUCUGGAGGAAUACCGAUGGCGAAGGCAGCCAUCUGGCCUAAUACUGACGCUGAGGUACGAAAGCAUGGGGAGCAGACAGGAUUAGAUACCCUGGUAGUCCAUGCCGUAAACGAUG